UACGUAGGUGACAAGCGUUAUCCGGAUUUAUUGGGCGUAAAGAGCUCGUAGGCGGUUUUGUCGCGUCUGCCGUGAAAGUCCGGGGCUCAACUCCGGAUCUGCGGUGGGUACGGGCAGACUAGAGUGAUGUAGGGGAGACUGGAAUUCCUGGUGUAGCGGUGAAAUGCGCAGAUAUCAGGAGGAACACCGAUGGCGAAGGCAGGUCUCUGGGCAUUAACUGACGCUGAGGAGCGAAAGCAUGGGGAGCGAACAG
rnacentral:rRNA from 1 species